CCUACGGGGGGCAGCAGUGAGGAAUAUUGGUCAAUGGGCGCAAGCCUGAACCAGCCAAGUCGCGUGAGGGAAGACGGUCCUAUGGAUUGUAAACCUCUUUUGUCGGGGAGCAAAGCGCGGUACGAGUACCGUGAAGGAGAGUACCCGAAGAAAAAGCAUCGGCUAACUCCGUGCCAGCAGCCGCGGUAAUACGGAGGAUGCGAGCGUUAUCCGGAUUUAUUGGGUUUAAAGGGUGCGUAGGCGGAUUUGUAAGUCAGCGGUAAAAAUGCGGUGCUCAACGCCGUAUCGCCGUUGAAACUGCGGGUCUUGAGUGAGCGAGAAGUAUGCGGAAUGCGUGGUGUAGCGGUGAAAUGCAUAGAUAUCACGCAGAACUCCGAUUGCGAAGGCAGCAUACCGGCGCUCAACUGACGCUGAGGCACGAAAGCGUGGGGA
rnacentral:rRNA from 1 species